rnacentral:rRNA from 1 species
UCGGGAAUUUUGCUUAAUGGACGAAAGUCUGAAGCAGCAACGCCGCGUGAGGGAUGAAGGCCUUCGGGUUGUAAACCUCUUUUCUCAGGGACGAUAAUGACGGUACCUGAGGAAUAAGCCACGGCUAACUACGUGCCAGCAGCCGCGGUAAUACGUAGGUGGCAAGCGUUGUCCGGAUUGACUGGGCGUAAAGAGCGCGCAGGCGGUUAUUCAAGUCGAAUGUGAAAGCCCCCGGCUUAACUGGGGAGGGUCAUUCGAUACUGUUUAACUUGAAGGCAGGAGAGGGUAGUGGAAUUCCCGGUGUAGUGGUGAAAUGCGUAGAUAUCGGGAGGAACACCAGUGGCGAAGGCGACUACCUGGCCUGUUCUUGACGCUGAGGCGCGAAAGCUGGGGGAGCAAACGGGAUUAGAUACCCCGGUAGUCCCAGCCGUAAACGAUGGACACUAGGUGUUGGUGGUAUCAACCCCGCAGUGCCGUAGCUAACGCAUUAAGUGUCCCGCCU